GGGGGGGGGGGGGGGGGGCCUCAGGCGGUGCAGUCGGGCGGAGGGACGGGGAGCUUGCGUCUCGGAUGUUAGCGGCGGCCGGGUGGGUAACACGUGGAUAACCUACCUAUAAGACUGGGAUAACUUCGGGAAACCGGAGCUAAUACCGGAUAAUAUUUUUAACCGCAUGGUUCCGAAGUGAAAGACGGUCUUGCUGUCACUUAUAGCUGGCUCCGCGCUGCCUUAGCUAGUUGGUAAGGUAACGGCUUACCAAGGCAACGAUGCAUAGCCGACCUGAGAGGGUGAUCGGCCACACUGGAACUGAGACACGGUCCAGAGUCCUACGGGAGGCAGCAGUAGGGAAUCUGCCGCAAUGGGCGAAAGCCUGACGGAGCAACGCCGCGUGAGUGAUGAAGGUCUUCGGAUCGUAAAACUCUGUUAUUAGGGAAGAACAUAUGUGUAAGUAACUGUGCACAUCUUGACGGUACCUAAUCAGAAAGCCACGGCUAACUCCGUG
rnacentral:rRNA from 1 species